AACAAGAUGGCAUCGAUGCCAAUAAAGUGGACAAAGCUGGUGACACUCCUCUCCAUCUGGCAGUUCGAAAGCAACAAUAUGGUGUGGUAUCGUGAUGCUGGCCCAGGAUUCAGUGAAACUGGAUAUUGAGAAUCAUAAGAAAAUGACACCAUUGAUGGAAGCCGUGUCCAGGGCCCACCUCGGAAUUAUCCAUAAACUUAUUAUAAAUGGUGCAAACAUAAAUGCUGUCGACAAUGAUGGCAAUAAUUGUUUGCACCUCUCAAUAAUAAAGAAAGAGAUGUUCCAUUCUGAGGUGGAACCCAUUCCCAUUUUAGAUGAGUGCUGCAGAGAGCUCCAACUGGACAUGGAUAGGAGGCUCUCUGGAAUAGUAGUUUUGAGUUACCUUGCCAGCCAAGGAGCCAACUUAUACCAUCGUAAUAAGAAGAAGAAAGUGACCCCAUUGGACUACAUAAAAGAUCAACAUGUGAAAGAAAAUUUAAAAACAUUUUUACAAUCACUGUGUCGGUGGUGUCAAGAGAAAAAGGCUACUGUCACACUCCAUCCAUGUCAACAUACUGUUAUUUGUCAGAAUUGCUGUUCUCAAAUGACAUUUAAGCAAUGCCCCAUAUGUCGACAACACAUACUCCGGAAAAGUGGAUUUGUGUGUCCAAAGUUUGAAGAGAAAGCAGUCCAGGCGGUUGUAGAGUCUGUUGAGUGUCCAAGGUGUAGAGAAAAAAAAAGUCAGACGUUGCAGAAUCUUUUGUGUGUCCAAAGUCUGAAGAGAAAGCGGUCCAGACGGUUGCAGAAUCUUUUGAUUCUGUAAUGGUAGAGGAGAAGCAUCUUCAUUGGGUGUCCAGAAGCUUGGCAGGUAAAUGGCAGGAACUUGGAAGGGAAUUAGGAAUUAAACAAGAUGACCUGGAAAUCAUCAGGCAUGACUAUUCCUCCAGCGUUGUGGAACAAGG
rnacentral:misc_RNA from 1 species